rnacentral:rRNA from 1 species
AGUGAACGCUGGCCGUCGGCUUAACAUACGCAAGACGAACGGCAGCACAGUAAGAGCUUGUGUUUAUGGGUGGCGAGUGGCGGACGGGAGAGGAAUACAUGGGAAUCAACUUUUAGGAGGGGGAUAACGGAGGGCAGCAGAAGCUAAUAACGAAUAAGAAGUACGGGUGAAAGCAGGGGAGCUUCGGACCUUGCGCGAGUGAAUGAGCCGAUGUCGGAUUAGCCAGUUGGCGGGGUAAAGGCCCACCAAGGCGACGCUCCGAAGCCUGACUGAGAGGAUGAUCAGCCACGCUGGAUCUGACACACGGGCCAGACUCCUACUGGAGGCAGCAGUCUGGAAUAUUGGCCAAGGGGCGCAAGCCUGAUCCAGCCAUACCGCGUGAGUGAAGAAGUCCUUCGGGUUUUAAAGCCCUUUUGUUUCGAAAGACAAGCAGCACUUUAAUACCCCGCGGUGCUGACUGUACCCAAACAAUGAGCACCGCCUAACUUCGGG